rnacentral:tRNA from 1 species
UUUAAUAUGGCAGAAAAGUGCAAUAGACUUAAACUCUAUAAAUAAAGAAAAUAUUCCUCUUUUAUAAAAA